UUGUCCAGUGAAUUCUCUCUUGUAGGAGGGAACCACUGUCAGAACCAUGAGCUGUCUGCUUCUUGUGUACGUGCUUUGCAGACAUCCCUGCUCCUCAGUGCUACCUGAUUUUUCUCAACCUUCUGCUUGUGUCAGCAUUUAUUGACUUUUUUGGUAAAUGUGAGUAUUUCUCCAAAAGGAAUAGCUGGAUACUAAUCCUUUUCUCUUUUUUUCUUUCUGUUAUAAAAUUGCCCAUUUUUCUUCCUGGUGGCAAAGUUGAUCUGGCUGCCUACAACUGUCCUCAUUUUCAGGCUGCACAGAAUGGAUGGAAGACUAUGAAGGCUGUGUUAAGGGAUGGCUUGUGUUAGGGACAGUGCUGGCCCCGCCAUCAGUGUAUGUUCAAAAGUUUAAAAAAUUAAUUUCCAUCAGAAGAAAAUGUACUUGACAUCUGGGUCCCUAGAAGAAUAUGUCUUACAAAAGGAGGUCUUGCCUGGGACAGUAACAGAAAUCCUGAGGAAUUGGAAACUGGUGUGGCAUGCCACCCAUCUGAAGGGGAGGAGGAAUGAGGAGAGAGUGAAAGGAAGGACCUGAGAAGAUUUCUUGCGAAAAAAUACAAAACAGUAAGUAAAGAUAAUAUUUAUGCCAAAAGGGAAAAUUUUGGUAUAAUGAAGAUAGCAUGCACUAGUAGAUGAAGUUGCUAUUCUAAAAAUAA
rnacentral:lncRNA from 1 species